ACCGAAGAGAGGAGGUGGUUCGGAGCAUGUAUGCAUCCCGGACGUCGGAGGUGGCUGCGGGCUAGCGCCCGUCACCACACCUGUGCGGUGCCGGACCGACGUGUCCUCGAAACACGCAGCCGGCCCAAUCCCAAGCAGUCACCCGACCCGCGAGCUCGCCGGUACGUCCGGCCGGCUCCUCCGCCGCAGGGCGGAGGGACCCGAGCUCGCGGGUCGCCUGCG
rnacentral:sRNA from 1 species